rnacentral:rRNA from 1 species
UAGGGAAUCUUCCGCAAUGGGCGAAAGCCUGACGGAGCAACGCCGCGUGAGUGAUGAAGGUCUUCGGAUCGUAAAACUCUGUUAUUAGGGAAGAACAAAUGUGUAAGUAACUAUGCACGUCUUGACGGUACCUAAUCAGAAAGCCACGGCUAACUACGUGCCAGCAGCCGCGGUAAUACGUAGGUGGCAAGCGUUAUCCGGAAUUAUUGGGCAUAAAGCGCGCGUAGGCGGUUUUUUAAGUCUGAUGUGAAAGCCCACGGCUCAACCGUGGAGGGUCAUUGGAAACUGGAAAACUUGAGUGCAGAAGAGGAAAGUGGAAUUCCAGGUGUAGCGGUGAAAUGCGCAGAGAUAUGGAGGAACACCAGUGGCGAAGGCGACUUUCUGGUCUGUAACUGACGCUGAUGUGCGAAAGCGUGGGGAUCAAACAGG